rnacentral:rRNA from 1 species
GACGAACGCUGGCGGCGUGCUUAACACAUGCAAGUCGAACGGAAAGGCCCUGCUUUUGUGGGGUGCUCGAGUGGCGAACGGGUGAGUAACACGUGAGUAACCUGCCCUUGACUUUGGGAUAACUUCAGGAAACUGGGGCUAAUACCGGAUAGGAGCUCCUGCUGCAUGGUGGGGGUUGGAAAGUUUCGGCGGUUGGGGAUGGACUCACGGCUUAUCAGCUUGUUGGUGGGGUAGUGGCUUACCAAGGCUUUGACGGGUAGCCGGCCUGAGAGGGUGACCGGCCACAUUGGGACUGAGAUACGGGCCAGACUCCUACGGGAGGCAGCAGUGGGGAAUAUUGCACAAUGGGCGGAAGCCUGAUGCAGCAACGCCGCGUGCGGGAUGACGGCCUUCGGGUUGUAAACCACUUUCGCCUGUGACGAAGCGUGAGUGACGGUAAUGGGUAAAGAAGCACCGGCUAACUACGUG